CCCAUUGUUAUCGGUGAACGGUUCGAGGCCCGCUUGCAGCUGCUGCCCUGUGCCGCCUGAACAAAAGAGCCCGCGGGUUAGUGGCGCGUGGCGCCCGAUAAUGCCGCGAUUAACCUCGGCGCGUGCUGCCGAGCGACCACCGCCAGGAUUAAACGCACGCGCCUCGAGAGAAAGUGGUCAAAGGGAUUUGCCGAAGCCAGCCCAGGUGUCAUUAGGAGAGCGUUGGGGAGCCCCCUGGACAUGUUACCAGUCUGUCACAGGGUCACAUACACUCUUUUGUUUAAAACCAAUCUAUUAUGCAUGUUUUGGGCUGUAGGAGAAAGCCAGAGUACACAAAGAUAACCUGGACAGGUGUGACUGUUGACCGGGGCGAACAACUCCCAGUUUGCUCCAUGUCCUGCCGACCCGGGCGAGGACCGGCCCAUUUUCCCUUAAAUUAAGGGAAGGGAAGGCAGUGUUGUCCCACCCAUAACCAAGAGGUGACUGUAGUAAUUACUGCUCCUCUCCAUCCUCAACACACCAGCAGCACCAAAACACCUGAGCUCACAUUAAUGCUGCUGAGCCAUCAUCUGUCAGCAGCGAGCUGCCAUUUUGCUUUCCUCAUCACUAAACAAAUUGAGGGGAGGAGAGCCCCCUGCCAGAUUCUGUUGCUUCACGCUACCUGAAUAAACACAGUGUUUCAUAAAGAUCCAUACUACGUGCCUGGAUCUGCGUGUGUGUCUGAAUCAAAGGUUCCUCUUGAACAGGUUUCCUGCCUGCUGAGAUACGUGCAUACCACUCGUGUCCAUGUGUCCUUAAGGCCAUCUGAAACUCCAAAACUGUUUUCUGGAGCAUUUCAAAGCUUUUUUUUAAGGCUAAUAUAAACUGAGAGCAAAAGUGGGGUCCAUUUAAGUAAUGUGAGAAAAAGAAAAGAGGGUGAGCUGAUGGCCAGCAGGGUUUUUUGCCAACAGAUGGAAUACUGACUCCAAGGAUCCGGUUCAUUAGCUUAAUGGAACCUGAUACGAUUGUAACCCUCCUGUUCCCAAAAAAGGUGGUUUAAUAAAUAAUAAAACAGAUGUUUUGUUGACAUACUUUUAAUUUGUUGUGGCAUUAUGACUGCUACUGCAUGUUCUGUUCAAUCUAAAGUUUUCAUCCCCAGAGGUGAAAAGCUGCCUCUACAGCAGAACUCAGUCAUGGAAACAAAUUUAAAAAGGAUGAAAAACAUAACCUGAUUGCAGAGUUUCCUCGUCUUCAGCAGCAGCAGACUAAUGCGCCGUGAUCUGAAGGCGCACCUUGUAAGCAAAACGUUUGUAAUGAUGAACUAAAAGACACGUCAGAUGCUCGUUAAAAAAAAAAAAAAAAAA